rnacentral:lncRNA from 1 species
CGCAGCCCCGCGGGGAGGCAGCCAGGGGCCCCCCGGCUACAGCGUGACCCCCGCCCCGCCGCCGCCUCCGCCCGCCCCCAGGAAGAGAAACAAAACAAAACCCCGGCACCGCCACGCUCUCCCUCCUGCUCCUCCUGGCAUUCGGUGGCGGCUACCUUUUCGUGGUUUUUCUUUUUUUCUUUUUUUUUUUUUUUCUUUUUCUUCUUCUUCUUCUUCUUUUUUUUUUUCCUUGGGGAUUCUCGUUUCUCCUGCCAGACUGACUUGCACCUUCUCGAUAAUUUCUCUUCCCCUCGUUUUUUAUACUCUUCUCCCUGCUUCCAAACCCUGUGUCUGUGUGUUUCAGUACUAUCACAACCUCUGCUAAAAAUAGAUCUUUUUAUAUACCCUUCCUCCUCUCUGACCCCAUCCAACACCCCUUGUUAAGGCAGAACCACAGGAGGAUGUGGGCAGGCUGAUGGGCAUCAGGGAGCUGGGGAAGCAAAUGCAUGGAGAGUUGAGUGGGGAGGAACCUGAUGAAAUUCAGCAAGGGUAAGUGUAGUGUCCUAUGCCUGGGGAUGCAUCUGUACAGGUUUGGGGUUGAGUUGCUGGAGAGAAGCUGUGUGGAGAAGGGUCUGGAUAUCCUGGUGGACAGCAGGUUGGUUGUGAGCCAGCAGUGUGUCCUUGUGGCCAAGAAGGUGAAUGGUAUCCUGGGGUGUACUAAAAAGAGCAUGGCCAGCAGGUUGAGGGAGGUGAUCCUCCUCCUCUACUCUGCCCUGGUGAGGCCACAUCUGGAACACUGUGUGCAGUUCUGUGCUACUCAAUUCAAGGCAGACGGGGAACUACUGGAGAGAGUCCAGUGGAGGUCUGCAAAGAUGACUGGGGGCUUGGGGCAUCUUUUCUAUAUGAGAAAAGGCUGAGGGACAUGGGACUGCUCAGCCUAGAGGGGAGAAAGCUGAGAGGGAUUCGAUAUCAACACUUAUCUAAAGGACAAGUAUCAAGAGGAUGGCACCAAGGUUUUUUUGGUGGUGUCCAAUGACAGGAUAGGGGGCAAUAGGCACAAACUGGAACACAGAAGUUCCAUAUGAAUAUGAGAAAGUAUUAUGUACUUGGAGGAUGAUAGAGCCCCGAAACAGGCUGCCCAGAGAGAUGGUGGAUUCUCUUUGGAGAUGAUCUAAACCUGCUUGGAUGCUUUCCUGUGCAGCCUACUGUAGAGAAUCAGCUUUAGCAAUGGGCUUAGAUUACAUGUUUUCUAUAGGCCCUUCCAGCCCCUGUGAUUCUGUGAAUGAGAAUACAUACGUUUCAAACUAGAUCCAAGCAACACUGUUACUUCUGAGUGUGAAUGUUCAGUCUCUGAUUGAUGAUCAAAAGGCUUUUGUGGCAAACUUUUUCAGGGGAGAAAAUGUUUCUGGGGGGGAUGAGGUAAUAAUGGCAAGUGGAGAUGGGCAGAGAGAAUUGUCACCAAAUUAUUUUUCUGUCAAAAUGAAUUUCUGAUAUGAAACUUUCAAUUUAGCCCUUGUGCUGUAGUAUCACAAUGCAGAGCAAUGAUGAGCCAAAACCCCACCUGUAUGUCCUUUUGGCCACUUAGUAGAGACUGAAUAUUACUUGUCUUUUUUUUUCCUCUGUAGUUACAACAAAGAGCUAAAUGAAGUACCAUACUUCAGAACAAUAAGGAAAAAAGCCAACAACAAUAAAUGCUCUGAGUGUAGUAGAACCACAUGGUUACAGGUGGCAGAAGUUCUUAGAACACAGAUCCUUCAUUAAGCUAUUAUAGAUGUAUUCAUAAAGAUGGAUAUGGGAAAAACUAGAAUACAGGAGAUUGGAAUUGAUAUGGUAUUCUUACAGGGAAAGAACACACUGCUUUCCUUUCUUGAGUGUAGAAAUUACCUUGAUAUAAUUUCACUGAGAUUUCUGUCAAGGAAGGCCUACCUGGGCAUACCUGAAGAAUAUCUUCUGCUAGUCAGGUGUGGUUUGAGUUGUCAACUUGGUACACGAAUCAGGGACUAAGAGCUCCUCAUAUAGAUGCUUAAAGAAAAUUCCUUCUUCUAAGCUCUUUUUUUUUUCUUUGUUUUUUUUUUUUUGGGGGGGGGGGGGGGGGGGGGGGUUGAGAUUUAUUAUGAAAAAGAAUAACGCAGGCCAGUAUUUGGUAACAGCUCAGCUACCACUGAAAUUUAUUCAAUCUGCUAUCUGCCUAGAUAUUCACAGUUUUCACAAAACUCAAGCUUGAGAAACGCACAUAUGUGUACAGGCAGUGUGUUUUAUUUAUUUCUCUGAUGUGAUAAGACGUGAAAAUAAAGUAGUGUCUUUUAUGUAGAUACUGAAGUUUAUGUAGAUACAGCCAUGUCUUACCUCUCCCCCUUACUACUCUGAGUUGUGCCAGAGCUAUCAGUUUUUAAAUAUGGACUGUUUUUGUUUUUUUUUAAAGACUUAUGCUCAGCUGUUCAGUACACUGGAAAUCUUCAUCUUUACAGGUUCACUGUGUAAAUAUUGAUUUUGCAUCUCUCUGUUUUACUCAUUAACUCAAACGUGAUAAUAGUUCUGUUAAACAAAAGUUUUUAAGGAAAUGAAAUACUGUACCUUCCUAAUGCUACGUGCUUUUUUUUUUUUCCUAAGGUGACCAUCUCAUUCCAGCUGCAAACUGCAGUCUGUUGUGGGGGUAUUCUGGCUUUAGAUGUGACAUGCUUUGUUUCUUGAGAAUGCCAGCCUCAAAAAUGACCACAGAUGGCUGUUUAUGACUAAGUAAAAUGUACACACAGAUUCAAUCUAGAGUCAUCAAAACUUGAUGCUGUUCUUAGAUACAUAUAUCUACUCUUGAUGUGUCUCCUGUAGCAGUUUACUCAAUUCUUCCUAUAUAACUGCAGAUAAAUGUAAGUAUUACUGUUCAUGAGAAAGCAUGAGAUUUGCAGGAGCCUUUCAGGUUCAAAUUUCUAUCUUCAGCAGGUAAAGAAAUUAGGAACAGAGAAUGAAUUAAAAGUGGUGGAAGACCCAGGCUUUUAUCCAUUGAGGUACUUUUUCAGAACAAGGCCUCAAAGCUGAAAUUCAUGGAAAACCUGUACUUUGAACCUUGGUUCCAAGUGUGGGAUUUGAUUCACAGAAUCCACAUCUGUGGCUCAGUGACCAACUGUCAUUCCUGUUCUUGUGAACCUGACUUCAGAAUUUAAGCCAGUGGAAAGCACUUCUGUAACCAGAACAAGAACAGCCUGAGGCUUAGAAGAUUACAGAUGAGGAUACUUGGCUGUGUGAAAAAUCAGCUGUACUGAUAUAUAUUUCAGCACUUCUCCAAAAGCUCAGUUUUGCAGGUUGCUGAGCACUGCUCUGCUGUCAUCAAUUCCACCUGAAACCAGUGAACCAAACAUUCAGCUUCAUGAAUCAGGGAAGCUGUUACUGCCAUGGAUACAUGCUUGAUUACUACCGGGGGGAAAAAAAAAAAGAUAUCAGAUCUGGAAAUGGCCUGAAUUCACAGAUCUGUGUAUUUUAAGUACAUAGCUCUACUCAGUAUUGUCUGGUACCAGGAAAAGUUUCUGAUUAAAUGGGAUUUUUUUUUUUUUGGCUAGUAAUAAGGAAAAGAAAGUUUAUUCUUUUUCUUUUGAGAUUUUAUUUUUCAUCUUUUAAGCACUGUGUGUCUUAAUCCUUUUUAAUGCAACAGUUGCUGGCAAGAUGUUGAAAACCUCCUCUGACACAGCAAUUCUUUCACAUAUGACAGUUGACUGCAGGUCCUGCAGUGUAGCCAGAUAGCAACACGUCAGUGCCUGAGUAGGUAUUCUCUGUGUCAGGAGUUGCAGACUUGGAAAUGUUCCCUAGCAAAUCAAGAAACAGAUGGUCUUUAUUACAUUGAGUUUUCCUAAGAAACUGUGGAAAGAAACUGAGGGACAGUGACGACAGAAAUUCACGUAACUCAAUAGUAUUCUCUGCUUUUUUUGCAAAUGUGAAACAGAGUGAGGAAGAAAGGGGAAAUGGAAAGAUAAACAAAUAUUCUUGUGUCUGCAAUAGUCUUCCUCUUUUAGCCUCUAAGAGUUUUGCAAAGUGCUCCAGGCCAAGUAAUUUUUUCCACCCCAUGAACCCUAGAAGCUCAUCUUAAGGGAUCUCCAUUAACUACCACUACCUUGCCUAUAUGUAGAACGAUGACUCAAAUCCUAAUGUCAGAAAGCUUUUCAUGCAUUAAUGAAUUUCAGAUUUGGGAGACCUAGAGACAGCCCUCUUUGAGUCACUGCUUUCUUUAAUUUGUUCCUUUCAUGCUUCUGUUUGAAGCUAUGCAUCAGAGCAUCCACUGCUUCUUUUUCUUUCCUUCCUCUACCAGGCUUUCAUGCCUUAUGCCUUCCUGUUUCAUCAUCAUUGUGAAGAAGGUAUUUCAUGAUCACCUGCAGUGCUUGCAUGACUGAUCUGCAGGCUUACUUUCGGGCAGCAAUCCUAGACUGUCCAAGUGUAUUUUCACAGAUACAGUGGUGGUAAAUUUUUAGUUUCUAUCUAGGAGUAAAUGUCCUAUUAGUCAGUCAGACCUUCAGUCUUGCAUCUUUCCCGUUGUAUUGUACUUGGACAUAAAUAGCAUUGGAUUUUCACAGCUCUUUUAUGACUUAAUGUACUGCAGUUUCUUUGGUCGCUGAAAGUGUCAACUUUACUAUGGGAAAACAAUACUUUUCUAGCCGUCUCAAUGAAGACAAAGAUAUUGUCUAUCCAUAACCAGCUUAGUAAUCCUUAAACAUUUCCCAACCCAGAUUCCUGCCAAAAUUGUAGAUAUACAAGACAUAAUAAUCAGAAGUUGCACUAAUUGUUAUUCCAAUCUCUUUUUGAAUAAUAUUACAGUUGUACAAAUAUUGAAGUUAGGAGUCUACAUUUGUUUGCACUAUUUCUGGCAAUUAAUCUUCCAAGAAGCCAAGAGGUUCAUAUGUGAGAAGUGCUGGUGGCUUACAUAACCUCAUUGUGAUGCUUUCUUUUUAAUUACACAUCUUGUGUAGAUAUAAACAAAAAUAAUUGCAGCUGAAGAUUUUAUCCACUAUUUAUUCAUUUUUCAACUUUUCAGUUGUCUUUGAUGGCAAAACAGCUGGGGAGAAAAUAGCCUCUGUGUGUAUCAUUUCAGCUAACUUUCUAUUCUUGAAAGUAGGAACUGUAUAACAAUGUUUUGAAUAAUGACCUUUGGGAUAUAGCAGUACUACACAAAUCUUACUGUCAAUAGAGCUAGUGGCAAGAAAAACAAUUGAGGGGAACACAUUAGCACUCCAAAGCGCCAUUUCACAACAAAAUAGUUACUGAGCUGACAAACGCCAGACAAGGUUUGCCUUGCUGCAGUAGAAAUGACUGCGGCUUCUUGUCCUCAUUUUUGAAACAAUAUUUACAGUUAAAUGUCUAAACCAAAUCCAUGUAAUGAAGUAGGCUUAGUGGUAGAUGCUGGUUCAAGCAUUCUCAGCAUGUGUGCACCCCUGAUGUCUUUCCAGUCUUACUUUGUACUAGUCAGCAUCCAUUUCCUAUAAUGUAUUGGUGCUCAGCAUCUGAGGAAAUUAGUAGAGAUAAAAUGUAAAAUAGUGCUUUACUCCCUUUUUAAGUAGUUUGGGAAAUGGGACAGUAGCCUUUCCUACCCUUACUCUUUUUCUGUGCUCCUGCCAGCGAAAAACAGAGUUUCUAGAGCCGUUUACACAAAGCGCAUGCCAUGAGCUGUCAAGCAGACAGCUCUAUAAGAUUAUUAAUAUUGUUUAAUUGUGAAUCUUGUAAUACAAAAUAAGUUGCUUACUUUCAUUAAAAUGAUGCCUGCAGAAAUACUUGUAGGAAUCUGUGCUGAAUGUCUCCCAAGUGAGAAAAACAGGUAGUUGAAUGCCUGCUGAAAGUGACCAAAAGAGAUGCAAAAAAAGACAGGCUUUUUGAAGGCACCAAAUUACUACAGACUUUGCUGUGAACCUUCACACAAUAUGUUUGAGGGUUUUAGUCUUGUCCUAUUCAUAAACCUACCUGAACUGGUGCACCUAAGCUUUGAAGUAACCACUGCAUUGAAAUACUCUGUUGUAACCCAAUAUCUAUUACAGUAAGGCUUGUUUUAGCAUCAAUAAGAUACUCAACUUAGAAUGGGAAGCAUCUUCAGCCAACCAUUAAUUAUAGUCACUGUGCAUUUCUCUUAUGCCAGUCUUGAACAGCUGCCUUAAGUACAUCUGUUAGUCAGUGUGGAGAGGUAGGAGAUUCCAGGGGGUCCCUCAUUUAUUAAAUGGAUUGAGUUUCCCUCAGUUUUAAGAGGACAGUAGCCUCCAGGUAAAUAGAGUGUUUUACACUGUACUGUCAAAUCUCAAGUAACAUUUCUGUGGGAACAUAAAUAAUAAUAGCUACGUGUUUAGCAACGGUUUUAAUCUGUGAUCUUACAGACCUCCAGGCAUCUGUGGACUACUCCUAAGGGAUCAAUGAAAGAUAAUUAACAAUAGCAACCCACUGGUAAAAUUUUUUGUUAUCUAGGGAUCCAUGCAUUCAGCAGAAAAUUAUUGGGAGAUAUAUAUAUAGAAAAACAUUGAAAAAUGCAGGGAGCUGCAGCAUCUGGGACAAAUUAUGUGAGCAGUUGGAGAAACAUGCUAAAUUGUGAUGCACACAAAGAUAUUCCUUAAAUAUCUCAAAAUGAGAAGGUAUUCAGCUGACACAUCUAAUGAUCUUACCCCAUUUUGUCCUGGGAGCUCCAUUUCCUUUUUGAUUACAUUUUCACAGGACUGUGUUUCUCCUAAAAAUCAUUUGUCCUAAAAUAGGUCUGUAUUUCUGAAUCAAUUUUUCGAGUCUCAUAUUUCUGAGAGAGAAAUGGGACAUUUUUAAGUGAGAUGUUGCUAUAUGACUGUCUUUAGCAUCUGAUCAUUCCUCAGGUAGAGUGAAAUCUUUCAAGUAGUUCAUUCUUUGGGUUCAUUCUAUUCACACUGGUGGCAAUGAAUACAUUGUCAUGGAUUGAUACCGACUUAGCAGCAAGCCACGUAAAGAGACAGAAACAGAGGACUGUAGCUUGUAAAAGCAACAGGCACAUUCAAACAGAUGCUGCAAGAGGAUUUGUUCUGAGGGCAUACUGUCAGGGAGGGGAUUGUUGGUUUACUUAGAUUUACUGCCCAGCAGCAGUCUGAGAGCUUUUCCCUUUUUCCUACUUGCAUAAUUACCCUGCCUGACGUUCUUAUAACUAGAGGGAGAGCUGAGAAGGACAAUUUACAGUAGAAACUUUUAUAUAUAAAAAAAACCAUGUAGCAAUGCAAGCAAUGUUUUUGAUGCAAGAGUGAUGCAAGCAAUUUCUUUGGUUGGCUGUGUGAAUCAGAAGAGUGAGAAGUUUGCAGUUUCAUAUGAAAGGGGUUUGUUCAGAAAAUGAAAACAUUUGCAGAAGAAUAAAAUGCUGACCCCCCCAACAUUUAGUUUAACCUGAAGUAAAAAUUGUGCUUACGCAGCAUUUUGGUUUUUAAGCUUUCUGGUAGAAAUACAACUAGAUCUACAGAUAAAACACAACAAAUACAGCUGAUUUUUACUAAAAAACAAGUGUUAGAACAAUCAAUUUUCAACUGCCUAGCUUUCAUGCACACACAGAUGAACAAGGCUUCAUGGCCUUUGUGUUAAGUUCAGUCUGCGUGUUGCCUUGAUAGGUCCGCGUGCUCAGCCCCUGCAUGCCUGGUGUUUGUAGACAGCAAGUGCUAGAUUUGAAAAUAUCUCUUUUUUUUUCUUAAUCAGAAACAUGAGAUGAUUCUGAUGAACAGCUUUCUUAGGAGGUCAGUUGGAUCAUAACUGGGAAAUUGAAAAGUUGAAUAUUGUGGACUGAACAGUACUUAGAGUACACUUUUUUAAAUAUCUUUUUAGCUGCACAGAAAUGAAUUGGAAGGCCUCCAUUUAUACCUUGAUUACUAGGUAUGUAGCUAUGCUGUUUGAGUUAUGGAAAAAGACCAGCUAGUCUUGGCUAUGGAAUAUUCUGGGGGUAUGGUAAUGUGAUAAUUACCGGAUACCAAGGAGUAGUUUUGUGUGUUGUUUUUUUUUUAAUAAAACCUUAUUAUUUGUGUGAGCAAAAGCAUGUGGAGGAACUCACUGUUUGGAAUGGUUCUCCUCAAGUUGCCAGUCUCUUCCUUUAAAUGUUGAUCAGCUGCUCUGAUUGCCUCAAUGAAAUUACUUCUGGAAGUACUUGAGAUGAUUCUCUAGUUCUCUAAACCUACAAAAUGUUUGAAUAUCUGUGUUGUUACACUUCAAAGCUAGCAGGAAAAAAAAAAAUACAGUCUGUCUCUGCUGCGUGAUGAUCACCAUAUAGGCAAAGACUUCCUCAUUAAGGUUCAAGAUUAAAUCAGAGCUGCCGGUUUGCAGUAAUUGCAGUAAUUACAAACUUUCAGGUGACAUCAGAAGCAUGUUAACGUUUUGAAUGAUGAAGACUACCUGUUCUUGUGCAGGUCCAGCUCUUCCAAGCCAUUUUUCACUAAAUCCUGUUUUUGGACUUCAACAGAAAAGUAAGCGGAUUUGGGAUCUAAUGCAGCGAAGUAACAUUUCUGUUCUUAGUCCUGCAUUUACACUGUAGUAUUUGCUCUCCAAGGAAGAAUAAGCACAAUCUUUUAAAAUUGUAAAUUGUCUUUAGAAAAUUAUUACUCAGUUGUCAAUAAUCAGUCAAAUUCAUGAUGUGCCUUUUUUGAUGCUUUCACUCUAAAUUUUCGUAUUAGCGCAUGGGAACCAUGAAAAAUUCUACCUGGUAACAAAAAAAAAAGGCAUAUAGAAAUAAAAAUCAGGCUUGUAUACUUUCUGAAUACUUUCUAUUGUUCUUUCAUGGUAUUCUGAGAAAAAUUAUUCAGUAAUAGUAAGUGCUUUUGCACCAUGAGAUAAUGAGCUCAUACAAUUUUAAAGAUUUGAAAAUUAUUUGGAAGGGAUAAGGACUAAAACUUUUGAAUUCUUUCAAAGCUUUCAAAGCUGUGUAGAUCCUAAAGCUGAGCAUGGCUGAGCAUACAUCUGGUUAAAUGCGUUUGGAAUUGGAAGUGAACUGCAGAAGAUGGUUAUUCACACUUUAUUUUUUUUCUAAAUCAGAGCAUUAAUCUUUCACAAAUUCAACCUUGUGUAAUCAAAAAGCUAAUGUUUAUGAUAUAGUUAAGUAGUAUGUCUAGUCCUGGACUCUUAGAACCAAUAACCAUGUGUCCUGUUGACUGUUUCUAGUAGAACAAAAGUGAUGAUGGGAAUAAUAUUUUUUAGCUGAAAACAUUACAGAAUGGUUCACUGACUUGAACUUUUUUUUGAUCAUAGUCUCUUUUUUUACACCAUGGAAAGAAUCUAAUUUGAAUGUAUGCAAGUUUACAUUGUUACUUUCCUACCCAAACAAUGCCUUCUGCACCUUUGCAUUGUAGACAUUCUCUUCCGUUCCCUGUACUACUAAUACUGUUUUUAUUUUAUUUUAUUUUUAUUUAUUUAUUUUGCAAUAAUGACUUUCUCUUUGUAUACCUGAUUAGGUAUUAUUCUGUCCUGAACUGAAUCUACCUUCUGUUCACGGGAGAAACAUUUGUUCUUUGUAUUCUUACAUUAUGUCAAUUUUUUAGGAAGUAUAACAGUUAUAGUCUCUAUUAGGACAUCAGAGUAUGAAUAAUUCAUGCUGGCAUGCUUUACUUUGGUGUGCAUUUGGCUUAGUAGCACAUUUUAGUGAUAGUGAUGCUGAGGCUGUAAAUUUCACUAGUAGUUCAAGAAAAGCUGUUAUAUAUGGCUUUUAGAAUUCUUACUCUCAUUCAAUUUUAUUUAACUUCUGGUUGAGUACCUCAUCUGAGAUUUCACAACUUGUCUCCUUGCUGCAUUAGUCUGUUCCUUUCAGGUGCCAUUUCAGUGAUUCCCGGGAAGCUUUGCGGUGUACGUCAGAUUCUCAUAGCAAGAAAUUGGGUUCAGUUAAGUAUGAUAUUUGAAAUAAAGUGUAAAGACCUAGAGUGUCUUUAUUUUAAAAGAUAUUCUAUAUAUGUAAAAAAUAAUAUGCUAUUAUGCUUUUCUUGUGUUCCUUGGUGUGGACCCAUUUACUUAGGGUGGACUCCUUGGUUAAGAAUUUGCUUUUGCAGCAGUGCAAAGUUAUAGUCUAUUUGAGUACUGUGAAGUGAUACUCUAGGCUGAGUGAUUUAUCCUGGUAAACAAUGUUUUAAGUGGACCAGAGGCUAGAACAGUGGAAUGAUAAAUCAGCUGAUUCACUGACAUCGUUCCUGUGGCUAACUAUUAAUACUUUUGUGUUGGUCUACAUUGACUCCACUGGCAGCUAGAGACAGUUGCACUUGCAUUGACUUUUGGUUUCACUUUCUCUUUUUGUAGUCUGAUGAGAAAUACUGAAUACUAUGUAUAAGAGAUAAGAGCUAUACCAGGAGGUUGGUGUCUUCUGUCAGAAAUACGAAAUUUAGCUGUUAAAUAGCUGUUUGAACCUCUGAUCCAAGUUUUGUCAUACUCAUUUUUCCUGCCUACUGUGCUCAAGUUGCUCAUAAUGCCUUGUAUUUCAAACAAAAUGGAAAGCUUGUCUUUUUUUUUUUUUAAGAAAGAUUCUGUGAGAUGUUCUGUUAGGUAGAGUUGUUGAUGGAUGUAGGAAUUUCAAUUCUAUGCUUUUUCUGAAACCUUAGAAAUUCAAUGAAAUUAAUGAUUGAAUUUUAGACAUAGCCUUUUUAAUCUUUCAUUGUUUAUCUUGACUCUUGCUGACAGUUUUUUUCUCAUAUUUGAGGCAUUUCAUCUGCCAUCCUGCAGAAAUCUUAAUUCAUCAGUGAUGCUUUUGAAACUCAGGAGCGUUACAGUAUAGUGUAGUUAAUAAUGACACCUUUCUAUUUUGUGGAUUUAAUACCUUUAUUGUAACCACUAGUAACUUAAUUUGUCAGGCAUGUAGCAUGACAUGAAAUCCAUCUGCCUUUUCAUUUGUCCAGAAAUUAAUAUUGCCAGUUGGAUUGAUUAGGAGCAUGCUGCAGUUCUUGAUGUCAUGUGUAAGAUCCGUGCAUGAAUCUAUCUUGCAGACUUGAAUGGCGUCUUGGAAGUCAGAGGGAGACAGCCUUGAUUUAUUUUAUUUUUUUUAUUUUUUUGCUCUUCCUCUAACUAACUAGUAUAUCUAAAGCAUAUUUUAAUUUUCUUUGCAUUUCCAACUGCUAGUAUGUGGAAUUACAGGUUGGGUAUGGAAGAACAUUAACCUGACGUUAAAUUUUUACAUUUGGAUAAUGAAGGCAAUAAUUAGUUUUGUGGCAUUCACCAUCUCACAAGGUGUAGAGAGAAAGCAUUGCAUCUACAGCAAAGGCCUUAGAUUUUCCCAGCGAAGGCAAUACAUAUGCCACGGGUCACUCUGUGCUUCUGCUAUCUCCCCGAGAGCAGAGGCUGUGCUGCUGGCUCCUCUUGCCUUGCCAUGCUCCCCCUACCUCUCCAGCUGCCUACCUGUGGCUCCUGAUCCCAUACUCCAAGCAGCUGGUCAACUCCUCUUUAGGGUCCUGUGCCAGCUUGGCUGCCUGUAGACUCAUGUCUAAUUCGUCAUUUCUGUUCCUCUUUUUUUUCUACAAUAUUUUUCCUCCCACAGCAAUCAAAGUCCAAAUGAUGAUCUAUAUGAACCUGUUACUGACUAACCAAUGUUGAAUAUGAAAUAAAUUCUGUAGGAGAACCAAUAUAACAGUUAGCAGGUAAUGAUUUAUUUGUUAAUUGAAUACUUACGAAAGUAACUUUGUAUUGGCGGUAAAGUGCCAGGCAGUGGAUAAAUAUUUAUGAUAUAUAACAUGUGAUGUUUGAAGUCAGCCACAUUGGCAAAAAGUGGGACAUCUUCAUGGCACCACAAUGAUACUUUCACUUCUUGCUAUGACAGAUAGGAAAGAAAAAUUCUGAGGAGGCAAGAUAAACAGGGAAUUUUACUGCAGCAUUGUACUGCAGUAUAAUUGUGAAGAAAAAUGUUGCAAAUGCAGUGUUAACUGGUAUUAUCUUUGAGUUAGUAUUCAUGAAGUUUAUAAUUAAUUUGGAUGAGUUUUUACUGUUGCAGCUGAAUUUUAACUUUACAGCAUUUUAGCAUGCUUUUUUUCUUUGACCUAAAUCAGUCUAAUUUUUUGUCUUCAUUAAAAUCACAGAACAAAACUGCUGUUGUAUUCUAGGCUUUGCUCAAGCAGAUCAAGGAACUUUGCAUUGCUAAACAAAGCUGUGUGCUUAGUCAUAUACAGAAAUGUUAGAACUCUGCUCGAUUAAGUGAGAUGAGUGUCUAGAUGAGGGAAAUGUUAACUGCUGUGCUUAAACCUGUUUGUAAAAUGGUCCAGUGGAGAAAAAAAAGAGCAAAAAAACAAAUUGAACGUGUAAUCAGACAUAAUAACAUUUAAGAUUGGAGAAGAGAAAAGCAUUUCACUUGUAGAUGUAAAGGAAAUAUUAUUAGAAUUCAGUGUCUUCAGGACAGUUCUUCAUUUAUGUUGGUUAGCAUUAAUAUUUGCAUUUCUAAGGAUUAUUUAAUAUAUAUGAAAGGUAUUUUUUUGAAACUGGGAGAGCAGUUCAAAAGAGCAUGGCUGUAGUUUUGAAGAUACCAUACAAUCAGCACAUCCUACUCUUGUGAUUGUUUUUCUAUUUUAAACAGAAGAAGGAUACUUUUUAAAAUGCUCUAAGAAAUAACAGGACACCCUUUGUGAUGCCAUAACCCAUUCAAGACAAUUGCUCAUGAUGUUAUUAGAUUCCUUUGGGUCAUUUCUAUACAUUUUUAUCUAUUUACACUCUUUUAAGGACAUGCUUUUGAUUAAAAAUGGAGUGUAACUUUUUCCCCCCCCAUGCUAGCAUGGCUGAGUGAAACAGAGCAACUAAUAUGGACUGAUUGUACACUUCUGUGCCUUAUAUCAGUACUUCUAUUUGAUGCCUGUAGCUGUAGUAUACAGAAGAGUUUACAGCUAUUGUAUAAAGAUGAAUUUUAUGGCUAGAUUUCCUCUGUGAUGAUAGAAGCUCUUGGCAUUGGUUAUACUAACUAUCCAUUGGUUCCCUAGAGUAAGGCUGAAGAACUAAAGGGCAUAAAUAUCACAAGUGGAUUCAGUUUUAAUUAUGUGAGAAUUUUUUUUCAUUGAAUGGUGUAGUGAUACUUGAAUAAUGGUAGACUAGGUAUUUCAUUGGAAAAUACAUAAUUAUAGAAUAGAAUCAUAGAAUGGUUUGGUUGGAAGGGGCCUUUAAGAUCAUGUAGUUUCAGCUCCCUGUUCUAGGCAGGGACACCUCCCUCUAGACCAGGUUGCUCAAAGCCCCAUCCAGCCUGGCCUUCAGUGCUUACAGGGAGGGGGCAUCCACAACCUCACUGGGCAACCUGUUCCAGUGUCUCACCACCCUCACUGUAUAGAAUUUUUUCCUAAUACCUAGUCUAAAUCUACCCUCUUCCAGUUUAAAGCCAUUUCCCCUUGUUCUGUCGCUAACUGCCCUUAUAAAAAGUCUGUCCCCUGCUUUCCUGUAGGCCCCCUUCAGUUACUGGAAGGCCGCUAUAAGGUCCCCCCAGAGCCUUCUCUUCUCUAGGCUAAAGAACCCCAGCUCUCUGUCUGUCCUCAUAGGGGAGGUGCUUUGUUGGAUUGCAAGUGUAAUCUCUGGGCAUGAGGCUUUUUCCAGUUGCAGAGUAUAAGAGGUUGAGUAGAAGUGCAGAAGUUUUAGCACCAAAAUAGUAAUUCGCUGAGGAUAGGAUAAUAAGUAUGUAUCUGUAAAACUGUUAAAGGCUAACCUUUACUCUCUUCCAUGCACUACCCUUUGGCCUAGCCACUAAUAGAUGGAAAAUGCUCAGCUUUGCUUGUAAAUUGUUUCUUUAGUCCCUCUGCAGAGAACAUAUGGUAUCAAAGGUAAUUGGUAUCUCAAUGUAAAAUCCAUUUUCAUAGCUACUUACUAAUGCCUCUACUUUUGCAAGUCUCUGGCCAGCAUCUCUUACUUUCUGUAAAUAAACAUUUAAAAACAAUGUUGGUGUUCUGGAAUAUGUAGAUCUGUAAUUUCUCAUCUUUACUUUUGAACGUAAAGACGUAUUUCAAAAUAAAAUUAUCGUAAGCCAAAGUGCAACACCCUGCUAUCUGUUCAUUUCUCCAUUUGUCAAAGCAUCUAGGCGAGAUAUUUCUUCAUUUGACUAUGUAGAUGCAAAAUAAAUUCAGAAAGUUUCAUUUGCCAUAUCUUCUGUGUUAAUAGAAGUUGUAAACUUGGCCAGAAUUGAUCUAAUAGUUCUUGCUCCAAAAGAUUUUAAGGAUAACCCUGCAAGUGGAGUUGUUCUUUCUUCACAACCUGUAUCAGGGCAAUAUGUACAUUUUCUUCUCCUGAGGUAUAGAAGACAUUAGUUUAGAUUUCUCUUUUGCCUGAAAGGCCUGAAUCCAUGUCUGCUUUACUUUCACCGUUCUUUGCAGGGCAGCAGUGGAGUAUCACGUGGGAAGUGUGAGAGCUCUUGCUGUUUUUGACACCAGUGUCAUAAAUCUUAAGCUGCUGUAGUACAUCUGUUGUUUGUUUGUCAGGGUGGAUCCACUGAAGUUGUGGGAUGUCUUCUGGGGAAAAAGCAUGGUUUGGAUCUGUGUUAAACACAAGAGCAUGAACUUUAGGCUAGUGAUGAUUUUGUUACAUCCUAAAAAGGACUUUAUUUGGACAGCAUAUUUUAGACCUAUCUAACCUACAAAUGCAUGAAUUUUUUUGCAUGGUACAUCUGUAAUCCUAAUCUUCAAUUCUCUCACAGUCAGAGACACCUGGAUCAAAGAAUUUUUUUGUUUUAUUUUUCCAGCAAAAUAUUGAAUGGCAAAUCAGAAGCCGCUUGGGCUACACUCUGGAAGCCUGAAAUGUCUUCUGACUGGUUUCCAUGCAUCAGGAAUAUGAGAAUAGACUUAGGAAAAACUGUGCACAAUAAAGCUGGUGUGAAUACUGGAGCAAAGAGCUGCUUGAAGUUCAUAUUAUACUCUCUGAAUAGUUCUCUAAAUUUUAGUGAAGAGUUUUUGUUUCAUGGAGAUAUGACAAACAUUCUUCACCCUCUGUUUUUUCUCUGACAUUCUGCAAAUGCCACUUCAUUUAUGCAAGGGACAUUUGGUUAUCGACAUGGCUGGAGAGGGAGCAAGGAAGGACAAUGGCACUGAGUGAAGCACAAACACAGAUAAAUAACACAAAUACAAAACAUAUGCAAAUCAUAUUAUAAAGAUGCACAGAGAAAGUGGAGUGGAGCUGGGAGGUGUCAGUGAGCUAAUACUGAUCUGAGCCAGUUAGACACUUGCCAUGUGAGCCUGGUUAUUCGGGCAGUGACAGAUGCCUCCAUGCCUGGCACCUGUGUGCCCUGCCCUGUAUUGUGGUAAGCUGGCUCUGUUUCAGGUCAGUUUUUUUCCCAGUUGCUCCUGAGUCCUUUGGUGCUAAUCUUUUUGUUUCAGCUGAGUUUUUUUAACCCACUCUUUGGGCUGCAAAACUAAAUUUUUGGUAGGGUAUUUCCAAACUUCAAGAUAAAUCAGUAGAGUUCCUAGAAAUGCCAUGAUAUUGCUUCCUGCAGAAUGGGUGACAUCUGAAGAUUUCUGCUUUGGACUGACAUGACUGUAUAAAAGUAUCAUUUGCAGGAUGUGGAGAAAAUAAAUCCCUGAACACUUAUGGGAGUGUAUAAGAAAACUAUAAAGAUAGAAUAAAUUGGAGAGGUGCCAGAAAUUAAAUAAGUCUGAAGUGGUUGCUUUCUUUUUCUUUUCCCAAAUUUCCUAUUUUAGUUGAAGUGCACCUUCUUGCUCACCAAAUUUGUAUUAAUAUGUAGAGCUCAAAGUACAUUUUUGUAUAAUGGAAUACAAGCUUACAAAACAAAAGCAAAUCUUACAGCAAUAAACCAAGGACAAGCAAGAGCUCAAUGCAAGCAUGUGCUUAUCUCUGUAGCGUGGGUGAAAUGCUGAGUGUAAGUUCAUGACUUCAAUGAACCAAAACAUUUGUUUAACUGUGUGUACCUUGGAUAGGAGGGGUGCUUCUCUUCUGAGUCUGCCCACAUACAACCAGUCUCUUACCCUUUCCUUCAUCUUAGCUGACUUUUACCACAGUUAGAGUGGAUGUAUGGUGGCUUGCACAAAAUACUCUCAGUGAUCUGCCCUCCCACUUUAAGUAGUGAUCUUUCCACACUGGAUAUGCUGGGAUAAGAUUUUAAUGUAAGUAAGACACAAGCUAUGUCUUGUGCCUUUGAACUACAGUGAGUGUCCAUCUGUUGUUUGAAUGCCAUGUGGGAUGCUUAUCGCCUGCCAAAUCCCUGUUGCCUUUGAAGUCCAUGGGAGUCUUGCCACUGACUCCAGUUGGGACAGUAUUUAACUGACAACAUUUUUGCUUGCCUCUAUUUCACAUGGUUUGUAUGUGGGCUCUAACAGAAAACAAUGUAUGUUUGUAUCAGAGCUGGGUGAGGAAAGAGAGGGUGUCUUGUCCCACACAGUAGGUUUCAAGGAAGGUGAAUCUUUUUCUGUCUGAGUUGCCCUUUCCCUUGUCAGCAAGGGGUCACUAGCACAGUGGAGUCAUCCAAGACUUAGAGGAAUAAUACAGAUCAAUUUACUGAGAGCUUUCUUAACAACUGGUACUCUAUUUGGAGGUAAAAUUGGCUAAUUUGCUAAUUAUGACUACUAAGCAUUACAGGUAAGAUAAUAUUAGGCAAUGGCUACUACAAAGAGUAAAAGAAUAAAAGAAGAUAAAGAGAAAAGAUAGAAAAUGGGGAAAGAGAGACAGACAAACAGAUAUACAAACACAGCAAAACAGUUCACCACUCCUUAGCCCAGUGAUGUCUUACUUGGAAUCCAAAGUGGCCAAGCCAGCUCUUCUGCAGUGACAGGUUCUGGCUUGGGGAUCUCAGCAGGAACUCAUUUGUUCCCCUCUUCCGGGCCUCGCAAAUUUAAGUCAGCAGAAAAGAGGAAGCAGGGAGAUGCCAGCUAGUAUCUUGCCUUCACAGGGUACAGUGGUAUCAUCUCCCAGUUUCCUUUAUCAAGCUGAUUUCAUUUGCUCCCAGGCCAAGUUUCAGCCAAUAAACCCUCUUGAGCCCUCCGUUUUGAAGGAAAACAACUCCAAAGAGAUGUUUUCAGGUGUAAAACUGUCCACAAAGUGAUGUUGAUUGCCUCAUGUUGGUUUGAGGCAUCCUUACCAGUUUCAGAUGGAGGGUCUACAAACAGUAUGUGUAUCUUACCUAGUGAUGGAGAAUAUUUCUUUGAAGUCUUAAUGCCAAUUAAAUUUUGAUGUUGAAGUCUACCUUUUCUCGCUCCUUUCUAGAAAUCAGAAUAUUUUUCAUUUACUGUUGACAUGUUUAUGCUAUGUCUUGACAAAGGGAAAUUUAAUUAUGUGAAAUUGGACAUUGUACCAAUUGUUUAACAAAUCAAUUAUUUAUACAGUACUGCUUUUCCUGAACAAUAAGAAUAAAUAAAUAAAUAAAUAGAUGUUUACUCUUGUUAGGAAAGUCAGAUGAAUGAUUCCAGACACUCCUCAUAGUAAGGGAUUGCAUGAAAUAUUUAAUCAGUCCUUCAGAAGUGUGCACUUCUAGACUUGUGGAAAGUGCAGUCUUUUAUUUUUGGAUCACUUGCACACUUGUUAUUCAAAGUACACUUUUAAGCAUCUGGUUAGGUAUUGCCUGUGCUUCGUAUUUUCAGGAUCUGUGAUUGCACCAUAUGCUGCUGUGGAGAGGAUUAUGCUGUCGGGGCUGUGGCAGAAUAGCACAGAAUUACAGUCUGGUGCAUAAUUAGAAGGAUAUAUUCAGGAACACUGCUUAGGUGACUGAAUUCACAUUGAUUAUUCAGUCUAAGUGCCCUGUUGGAUCACAGACUUUGCAUGUGUGUAUGGAGUGUGCACUUAAGAUGUUAUGAGCUGCUAGGACACUGAAAAAAUAAAGGAUGAGCAGAAAUAGUCUGUGGACCUGAUCAAGAGCUAAAAAGAGCUUAGGUUUUGUAUGAAGUGAUUUUGUACUUAGUGACUUCUCAUCUUUCUUAGUGCCAGAUUGUUCCUGUCAAAGAGAUUAGAGAUAGCUGGAGAGUGGGUUUGGAGAGCUUUGGAGGGCCACAGCCGUGUGCCUCUUCAGUUUUAGGUUAGUAAGAAAAGGCUGAUUUUGCAUAGAAUCUCUUGUAGAUUGAAAGCGACCUAUGCUUUUCUAGUGUAUGCUAGAUUUAAUCUGGUGGGAUAAAUCAAAGCUGCCCUAGAGUUACCAGGAAGCUGACCCUGUCAGCUACUGAAGCUCUGGCACUGGGCAAAGUAGGAUCUAAAUUGCCCAAAACAAAGGCUACUCUUCUUUCUGCUGGCAGAAGAAAAUAACGGUUGAAGGAAGUCUCCUUUUAGCUUCUGCUUGUUUUCACAAUCUAGAAAUCCAAAUGAUAAUAAAUGACAUGGUUUUGCUUUAAAAUCUCCCGCUGUCAUUUUUAAGGAGGCCUUAAAUGAAAUGGGCUCAUACUGAAAGCUUAGUAGAUAAUAUGUAAUAGUUACUCUCAGACUGUAUGAAAUUAUUGCUUGUGAUUUGGGAUGCUGCAGAAUUCAACAGAAGGCUUCAGUGUGUUUCCAAAUACUAAACUUCAGUGCUUUGGUGGCUCUUCCCUCAUUGAUGUAAGCCAUACAACUGAAGAGCUUGUUCUUGUACUUCUUCUCCCAACAGAUGGUAAAUGGGAGUUUCAGGCUCUUACUAAUCUACAGUUUGACCAAAUAAGAAACGUGGUAUGUUUUGAGAAGGAAACUGUUAAUGUUGAAGCCACUGUAAGCAUAGGUAGAAUAAUUACUCUUAACUGAAAUAGGAUUGGCUAUGCUCGCUAUGUUGUUUGAAUCUCACCUGAAUUUUAUAUCUUUGUAAAACUGCUGAACUCACUGGAGUUUCUGAUUUACAAACCUGAAGAGGAAAAGAGAAUUGUGGCUUCUCUUUGCAAAUUUGCAUGUAAGACUGAACACAGCGCUAGUCAUAGCCUCUCUGUGGCAGCUAUUAAAUAUCUCAUAUGAAGUGCUGAUUUCAGUAUCCAGUGAAUUAUUUAAAACUAAACAUGGCUUUACUUUAUGUGAUGUAAGAGAGGUUUAUUGGUGGCAAAGGCUAAAUUGUGUAGAAUGUUGUUGCCAAAACAACUUUUUGUUUGCAGUAAUCUGCCAAAGCGAGAUGUUUGAGUAGGAAUGUAGAUAAGACUGAUCUCUUAAAUAAAAUUAGUCACCGGAGGUUAUGAAUGACCGUAUUAGACUAGCUCUGUGGUCUGCUUGGUUCCAUGUCCCAUCAUUGUUACUGGCUGCCUGACAUGUUUUUGAGAAAAGUCUAGAGAAAAUUCUAGAGAAUUGGUGAGGGAUUUUGUUUGUUUUUUAGAUUGUAGCUAUUAAAAUGAAUCCCACUGGUGCUUCUUUAUUUCCAAAUAUAACUUGCAGAAUUAUUUUCAGCUGUUAUACAGCGCUGAAGUCAUAAAUAAAAAAAGAUGUUUCUACUUACUGGAAAAGAACUCUUGAUAAUGUAGGACACAAACUUCUGUACAAUCAAUAAACUACUGAAGCAUCAAUUACAAGAUACCUACAUGGAAAAAACAACUGAAAUAUUAUGUAUCUCUCCUUGUUGCCUGGCCCUACAGAUUUUUUUAUUUUUUUUUAAUUUGUUUCACUGACAGCACCAUUUAUCACAAAAUCAGAUCUCAGGAUUACAUUAAAUUGCUACUCUUGUGUUUCUACUAAUAACUCUUUCAGUAGUUGCAGUAUUCCAUCUAGUUUCUAUGUGGUAUACUGACCACUUUGUAAGUAUUAUACAGGAAAAUAGGCUCUUAUUCAAUUUAUCUUUAUGCUUUGUAUUAUGUAUUCUAUGUACUUUUCCUAUUCCAAGAGAUGUAUGGGGAUUUCUUUGACCAAAAAAAGGCAAUAGAGUAAAGGUAUAAUUUUGUAAGGGACUGAAGACAUUUGUAAUAGGAUCCAGAUUUUAUGUAAACAGAUUUGGGAUGUUCAGUUUGAGUAUUAAGAAAAAUGUAUUCUCAGAGUGGUAAGGCAUUGGAACAGGCUGCUUGGGGAAGUGAUGCCAUGUGGGCCACUCACCUUUCCCUGCCUGCUUUGAUGGCUAGUGCGUUUCAUCUUUCAGCUCUGCAGGCAGAUGGGCACGCAGGCAGCAAGCAGCACAAGUAUAUUUUUGUUUAUUUGGCUUAAUUCACUUUGUCUUCAAUUACUUUUCCAAGUAAUUGUAUCUAUGGAUUUUAGUAUUUUUAAAUUAUACGUGGUUUAUUAUUCUUAAAUUUAACCUUAUACCCUUUAUAACUUUUAAGUUGUAACACAUUUUGAAAUUCAGCAAUAGAUCUGAGAUUGUGCAGAUCUAAAACCUCAGAUAUUUUUGACCUUCUUCUCAUAACUAUUUCCCAAGCUUGAAAGAUCUCCACAGUAUUCCAUCAUCUGUAAUGUAUGCCAUUACGGAAACAUAACCACAGUGAUAAUGAUAUUGCACUAACUGAAAAAUGCACAUUGCUAGUUAUCCAUGGAUUUCCUUUUUCUCCAUAAGUGCUUGGAGAUAGUUGAGAUUUAAAGGUUAAAUUCAAUAUAAUAUGCCUAAGAAUGGCUUAGGAGAGGACUGAAUUGCAUUAUACAGCAUUUGAUCUUUCCUUAUGGUUACAGAAGCAUGUGUUUGUGAGUAUUGGUGAUGCAGGCAGCUGCUUAGACUGGCUGCAGAUGGGUGAUGGGGAGUUUCCUCUCUAAGAAUCAAAGUAGAAUUUGUAAUUAUAUUUUGUUAGGGAGUUGUUGACAGCUGUGAAGAAGCACUGCUUUAAAUUCUCAGUAGCCUUUUUUCCAGUGCUGCAUUUGAACCGUAUGACAAAGCACAUAUGCAAGUGGUGCUUGCCUACUGUUCAAGGUUUUGCAUCAUGCUGCCUUUCACUUGGCCUGCUGCUUCUGUGGGCUGGAAGUCCUGAGAGCAAGGAAUUCCUAAGUGAGCUUUGCUUCACCUGAAUGCAUUCACUAAAGUAUUUGCCACUGUAGGCUGCAGGGUUUUUUGGUUGUUUUUUCUUUUCUUUGUAAUAUCUUUUGAGAACACAGGUUGCUGCUUGAUCUGCAGAUCUGUCAGUGCUUUCAUCUAAAGGUUUUCUGUGAAGGGAGGAUGCAAGUCUUUUGAAACUUUCACACACUGUAGUAACAGUCAUUGCUUGGCAGUAUGAAAGGAAAGUAAGCUUUCUGCAAAAAAGUUUAGUUUCGUAUAUCUAACUGAACGUAUCUGAGGAUUGUACUACUUAACCCACUUUUCAUAUAGCAAUUAUCCAUGUGGUGCUUGCAGCACCUUCACUGAUUAUGAAAAUGGAAGAUUUUUAUGUCUUCAUGCGCUCUGCCUUUGCAACUAUUUUCUUUCUAUCUUGUUUUCCUCCCCAGUCUUUCUUUUUUCCAUUCCUUUAAGCUAUAGCACUUCUCCCAGUGGCUGUCUGCCAGCUGGCUGACUGCUUUUGAGGAUGGGGCAUCUGUAGGUGGCACGGGUCAAGCUGGCAGGUGUUCCCACUCUAAAUUGAAUGUCAGGGGAGUAAAGAAGAACAGGUUCUUUUUUUCAUCUUGGCCUCACAAGCGGUCCCUUCAAGAGCUGGGAAAUGAAAAGGUUUUGGCUCUUUCUAUUUUACACUGCAGAAGAGGGCAUGCCAUACAGCCAGGCUCAGAUUUGAGAUAGGUGUGAUUUCUUACCUGUGCAACUCCUUUCAGCAAUCUCCUUCUCUCCCACAGAGGACAUGGGUUUGGCAACAGCUUCCCACAUGGGAAGCGGCGCUGGCAGAAACCCAACUCAUGGCUCUCAAGGAAAGCAGGCAGCUUGUGAAAUGAGAGAUGCUGUACAAUGGGCAUGGGGCCUACAGAACCAGCCAACUUUGUUAUCUCUAAGGUUGUGAAUUAAUUAAGCCUUUCCCAUGAGUGCCAGCCAGGGUGCCGUGUAGCUAGCUGUGUGCCUUCCUGUACCUGAGGCUUCAUCUGCUGUUAUCACCGUUUUGUACUGUCAGUGUAUUUUGUCUUUAUUAUUAUUAUUUAAUAGUUGGAGUUAUCCUGUUCCAUUACCCUGGAGAAUUGAGUUGACUAAGCGCUGCCUUUUGUGGAGAUUUGUGCCAGGAUUUACCCUUAGCAGUAGAGAAUUCCCUGUUGGGUACUAUGGAUACAUCAGCUUACGCAGUGCACAAACAUCUGAAGCAUCACUGGUGCUAACAGGAGUUUUAUCAUUGUUUUCUGCCAAGUUUGGUAUUUUUUAUGUAGUACUACAGAGGAAUGUGACUUUGGAGUGUUCUUUUGUCUUUGUACUUAGCUUUAUCGAUGACCUAUGUUUAACCUAGGAUUUAUCUCUAUAAAAUUUUAUGUAUAAGCUCUCUGGUUUCCUGUGUGUGUCAAUUUGGCUACCUAAUCAGAAAGAGGAUUUUUAAACAUUUCUUUACUAUGCACAGGAAACAAGUGUGCUUAACAUAGCUGCAAGUGUGAAAUAAGCAACCCUCUGCUGAAAGUUCACAUGCCAAACACAGCUAAUCCACCAUAUGUGUGACCUAAAAAAUAGAGACAUAUGGAUCUUUUCUGUUGGCUUCUUAGUCUUUUCAUGACUGCUGCAAUUGUAAGUAGCCCAGUAAUAUUAUAUGCUUGAUCAGCGUAUGGGAUCUGUGAUGGUAUUUUGCAGUUAGGAUUGCUGCAAUCCAUAGCAUGCCUCUAAGUGAAAUGGAAGGAAACCAUAAGCUUUUCAGCUGUGACAUGUGACCUCAGCAACGGUAUACCUUCAGGGCAAACAGAAGAGUGUGGCAAUGUUUCUGUAGCCCAGUAUGUAUGUUGCAUACCACCGGGUAUUAUCAUGUGCUCUCAGAUUUAGGGUUUGAAUGUUGGGUGGUUAUGUGUGAAGUCAGGAGUCAGACUCAAUGAUCCUCGUGGAUCCCUUCCAACUCAGGAUAUUAUGUGAUUGAUCUCGUUUCUUACUUAAGCAGUUUGUACAUUUCUGGUGAGUUUUCCAUGUGAGGGACAUGAGCCUGUACUUGCCUUCCUUGCAUCUGCUGCAGCCGUGGAGUUACCCAGAUUCCAGCAUAAAAGAGAGAGUAAGACCCAUGGUGUCCUGUGCUAUAGAGAAAAUAGUACAGAAUACACAUUUACAGAAAAAAAAAAUACAUUUCUUGGGAAAUACUUGAGGGAUAAAUGGACAUCAUAUUCCUGGGAUUUGUUGCCUUGCCUUCAAACAUCAGUUAAAAAAAAAGAUGAAGUGAUGGCCAUCUCUGCACAAUUGAAGUCAUUUCAGUUCUGAACCUGCACAGAAAAUGUCAUGUAAGUGGUAGAAUUUUUACUCAUUUGCAAAUAGAUUGACACCUAUUGUGGACCCAGUUUUGUGACACGUAAUUUGUCACUUCCUACACUGCUGUAGGAUGUAAUCCAUUACCCAUUUACAUCAUGACUGGGAAAACAAGCACAGUGCAUACAGUGUCAUAGACCAAGGCUAAGCAUGUACUGUACAGCUUUUUUGUGGAGAGAAUACAAUGUGGCCAAAGUGAGUAUAAUCAGCUCAUUUGUAUGCACAUCUAAAAUCACUGGAGAGUAGCUUACAGAGAAGGAUUCAUAUAGAGAACUGUGGCAACUGCCUAAUUACAUAUAGGUAUGGUUUUAAUUGCAUACUAUAGCCAAUAAUGUUUCCUCUAUAGGAAGAGACGAAGGAGUAGAACGUGUACAUGAGGCAGUUUAAUGUCUACAGUACUGUUUGCAAAUACAAGCUACUAAAAAGCAAAUCAUGCUGGAAAAUGUCUCAAGCUAUGAAAUAUUAAGAGAUCAUUAAGUUGUUGUAAGAGGGACUGAUAUAUAGUGUUUAUCUAAAUGUGUACCCUUUAACUUCCAUCUGCUGUUUGUGUUCAUCGGUGACAAAAAUCUAAUGUUUUAAGAAUUUUUUUCUAGUAUGUUUUAGGAAAAAUCAGAACAUAACAAUGUUUGCAUUUUGCUGAGGGUGAGCACACGAAGACCGACUGAUACUUCAACAAUGAGGAAGUUUGCGUUAAUGCAAUGGUAGCACUGGUGUUUAAGGUUUUUCAGAGCUACUAGAAAGUGGACAUCUUCUGUAAGAGUAGAUAGGCAACCAUGUUUCUUAAGGUGCUGUGGCAAUCUCAGACCAAACAUUUAAAAGCUGUAAUGUUUGCUGGGGACAUGGCUGGUGCCAUUUAUAGUAUUAUUAACUUUCUAUUGAAGGCUAUACUGCACUUGUAAUAUAAAAGAAUGCAAUAUAGAUAUGGGAAUCAGAGCAUGGCUUGAAUUUGAAGGAAAAUAUAGCUUCACCUCAGGAAUUUCAACUGUAUCUCAUUGUAUAAGAGAUGCUUGGAGGACUGCUUAUAACAACACACCUGGUAUUCUUUCAUAGUAUGGAAGCUUUAAAUAAAUUGGAUCCUUUUUUAACUGAAUGGAAAAGACCAAUUUUAUUUCUUCAACUAGUUGAUAAAUUCCUUUUCCUAAAUCUUUAGAAAAUUCAUAUGGUCUUUUGCAAGCAAGUACUGCUCUACUUGAGGAAUUGUAUGGUAGUUUUAAAAAAAUAAUAAUAAACCUUGAAUUCUCAUCUAAUCUGCAAAUCUCAACCUGUCCCAUGCACAGAAACAACUGAGCGGUGCUUAGUUUCUGAUCAAUCCAUCUUUGUUGCUUUUUUAAAUUUCCAACUUUUAAUUCUACAUUAAUGUGUCUGUUGCCUUUAACUUCAUUUGGUUUAUGGACAAGAAUUUAUUUGGUGGCUUUGAAGAGGCUUCCAUAUCAAGUUAUAGGUUUUGUUGCAAUGUAGUUUCUGUGUUCUUUCCUAUAUCACACACCUUAAUGAGUCUCAUAUGAAAUGUGUGAUUUGUAGGAAAACUGAAAAAUGAGAGCUUUCACACAACCAGUCUUGUUUUGAUCAAAGAAGAAAAUGGCCUUAUGCACCAUGACAUUUAAUUUUCUCAUGGGAGAUCAUUUUGCAUGUAUUCUGAUACACUGUUGUAAAGAUAAAGCCUUCAUAGGUAAUCUAAUUAGUGGAGUAGGGAUGACUGCUGCUUCUGAGGCAUUUGGGCUUUGGAUGUUUUGAGGACCAAAGUUUUCAAGGACACAAGAUUUGAGUAGAACAGAAGGGAACCACUAGCUUGUCAUUGAGAAAGCUUUUGAAAACCUCUGUCUGAGAAGGUGAAGUAUGUAAACUUUUGAAUCUGGGGUUUUCUUUGCUGCCAAGAAGGAAAUUUACACACUCACUAGGUUGAACACUCCUAGGUUGAAUUUCAGAGUUGCCAGGCACUUCUGCUCCUAUGAAAAUCCGGAGGACAUUUCUAGCUUGCGGACAGUGAGCUGAAGUGACCGUCCUUACAAGGUGUGGGAGAGCUCUUCAUGAGACAGCAGAAUCCAAAAAGUUUUGUGUGCUCAUACAGGGGAAGAGCCUCAGCUACUAAAGUAUAUUUGCAGGACUCAGCCUGGGAGAGGGCCUGCAAAUUAUUUAGAAACACAGUGAUGAUUUUGUCGUAUGAAAAUUAAAUCUUCCAACUGCCAAAGGCAAUAUUGUGCAAGCCCCUUGGGGGAGCGAGAUGGUAGGGGAGCAAGAAGGAGAAAAGGUCUUAGUUGAUGCACAGUGGGACAGUGACUUUAAUGUACAAUACUGGCUUGAUUGCAGUUAAGUGGUUGUAUAGAUCUGCAAUCUGUAGAAGUCAAGCAAAACAGCAGAGCAUGUGCUAAGUUCUGCUGGUCUUUUUCUGCUGCUUGUUGUUUUCUCUGUGUUUAGUUGACAACCAUCUCUGUAAAAACUUCGAGUUGGGUGACAAUCUGCUGUGAAAACAUACACAAAACAGGAUGAAACUUAGAUUGCUUAAAUACUUAAUGCGUUAGAUCUGUACUAAAAUACUAACCAACGAGAAGAAGUAAGCAUAUAUGCUGUACUGCUGGAUGUUUUCCAAGGCUGAAGCCUGAUAGCCAUAUGUUAAAAUAAAGGAAACCUUUUCCCUAGAAAGUGACUAAUUUUCUCCUCUUACCACAAAUACAUUCAGUGUUUCUCUGCCAAUGAGAAAAAAUUGUCACAGCUGGGAAGGGGACACAAACCAGGGUGUAUUUGCAUCCUCAGAGUACUGGAUUUCUCUCUACAUUUCUUCAUGUGCAAUUUUUCCCCUUAAUGAAUAUAGGCUAAUAAUUCCUGAUACACUCUAGCUCUACUGGGACUCUUGGGUAGUGUUGAUUAUUCAGUUAAAAAGAGUAAAAUUUCACAAACAACUCUAAUAUGAGUGUCUGACUCAGGAAUCAUAGGAGUAUGAAUUCCAAAAUUAUUGUCUUCUGAGAUGCAGGAACAUGCAUAUGUUAAAAAUAUUCUAUCAAGAGUCGGAGGGAGGAUAUCUUUAUUUUCUUUGCUCGGUUCUUCCUUGCUUCCCAUUCCUUUUUGUUUUUAAAUAGUCAAAGGAUGUUUGAAAAUUUAGGAGAAAAUGUCUGCGUGACCUAAAGGUGUUAGAUGCUCCUCUGUGCUUCCAAAUUUCUGUGCUCUGACCUGGUGACAGUCAGCUAACGUGUUUAUAUUCUUUCAAUAGAUUCUUUAAAAUGAAUUCCCUGUAGAAGGUGAAGUAUGUAAAAAACAUGGUCUGACUGUGGUAUUAUCGAUGAUGUCUGCCUCCAAAUGGUGUGCUGCAAGUACCAGCUUCAUUGCAUAUUUUGAAUUUCUGUGUGUUGCAGAACUACUAGCAGAAAUUUUGUACUUACCAGUGCAAUUCUUUUAUUCACCCUGAAUUAUUAACAUGUAGUAGUAAUGGAAGUGUACUCCUCAGUUUCCAAUGUUUUAAAUGUUUGAAAUCUUCCUGCUAGUGUUCAGUAUCCUAUUUUGGAAGGAAAGGUAGUUGUGUUCUUUCCUUACAGUUGGAAGUAGACUGCCGCUCUUUUCCAAGCUCAAGUAGGGACAGUUGGUAAAUGUCACAGGCGCCCCAGUAGAUGGAAGGAUGAAUGGGUGGUAAAAUGUGGGCUGAAAGUUGGUCUGGAAAUUGACUUGUCUGGAAAUUGACAGGAUGGCUGUAAAGAACUACCUACCAAAAGUGGGGAAUGAAUAUUUUGCAUGUCUAGAAGUCAGGAGCUUAACUUAAUGUCUGAAGUAGCAGCUUUAGAUGCCUAUGUGAGAGUCACUAAUGUUCUGGUAUUCUUACCGAGAGAAGAAUUUUAAUCAUUAUUAUGCAUUCUGCAGUUCUGAGAUUGUCAACAUUUCAAGGCAAAAAUCAUCUUUCUCUGCAUGUCACUAAACUGAUGAUGAUUACUGGCAGGAAAGAUUGACGCAUAAGCCUUGAAGGGUUUUUUUAUAUAUAUUACCCGAUCACCUAAAUAAAUUCCUCAUUUGCAACAGAUUAAAAACUUGAAAUAACAUUCUAGAAUGAAGUUUUCCUCACAAAUCUAUUCUAGUUAAUUAAAACAUUCUUGCUUGCAUUUUAAUUAUUUUUUAAAAUGCUUUUUAUCAGACAUUGUAGGUUCUUUAAAAUACUCACUUUGUCGUUAUUGUUUGGAAAAUAAGCCUUAGAAGAAAUAAAUUCUAAGAAUUAAAAAAAACAGUGAUAUUUUCCAAGCUGAGCAAUGCUUGGUCUCCAAGUACUUUCUCCAAUAUUUUCUCAAGUAUUUGAGCUCUGCAUGUAAUUCUAUUUCUGAGAAGCCAGCAGGACAGAUUACGCAUUUCUUGUAAGUUAGAUAGUUAUAGAUAUCAUAGUGAAGGACUAUGAAAAUUGCCAACGUAGUUUCAAUACUGGCAUCACUGUUUCCAUAUUAUUAUUGUGCUGCAACAGUUUAAACAUCUCUUAGCUCUCAGCCAGUUACCAUUAGCUGUAGGUCAAAUAUGAAAUUCCUUACUUGACAAAAUUUGUAAUCUUUUCUGAAGGAGAGUGCAUUUCUACUUCUUAUUCUGUGUUCAGGCUCUUGUUCUGGUGCACUUUCAGGUUUCAGUUCCUAGAGCAAAUUAAUCUUCUGUCAUCUUCCUUCAAGUUAAACCAACUUCCAUGCUAAUCUGUUCUGUGUGGUUGUCAAGCGGUUUGGAGCACUUAUUGAUCCUUGCUGCCAUAGAAAUGUGACACUUCAGCAGCAACAAACUGCAUUUGAAUGUUUUCCGAUGUGUCACUAACGUUAAUGCUGUUCAGGCUAGCACUCGGCCAGCUAUGCUGUUUUGCAACACCCAUUGUUAUUCUAUUCUACAUAUAUUUUCUUCACAUAUGGAGAUGCUUACGAUCUCAUUUAUGUAGUACCUAAGAAAUAGACCUUUGGUGUUUGUUUGUUUGUUUUUUCCAGCAGAUUUCUGUAUUUUGCUGUGGUGUCCAAGAACAGAGAAGUAAACAAACUCUAGCAUUUCAGUUUAUUUCAGUGCUAGAAAAUGAAUGGAAGCAUUGCUGGAAUCUUUUAUAUGUGAAGCCAAAACUGGGGAAGUUUAUGGGUCACGGACAUGUUCCAUCAUGAAUGAGUAUAUGGGGGUGAGAGGGCAAAUAUUUAUGUGUAUACAUCUUUUUAAACAUCUUUUUAGGAGUAUUAGUGAAAGCCUGCUGGCUACAUUGAUCUUUGACCAUUGAUGAGUUUAAGACAUAAUGACUGAGACCUGGGAGUAUAUUUUGAUACUUGUAAGAAGCCAAACUUGCAAGAUCUUUGCACUGGCUGGUCAGAGAUGCUUUUACUGAAUUGCACUGAAAUAAGCAGGAGAGUUUUAGGGUGGUCUGAUGAUGAAGGUGGGAGUGCACACAUUGACAGCAAGAAUGCGUGUGACGGAGGGAACGGUGGGAUGACUGUCAUACUGAUUUGCUGGUGUCAGUCCUUUUCAGAGAAACAUGUCAAAUACUUUAUUUUUAAAAAAAUUUUUGGAAGCUCAGUUAUGAUUUAAUUGUCAAACUGUGGAAAGAAAUGAAUAAAAAUACAAUGUGUAGAUAAGUAUGCAUUCUGAAAAUACUUCAGUUGAAGAUAGUCAAACUUUAUUGCAGCAUAUCCAAUAUACUGAAGAUUUUAUGGAGAACCUUGCAAGUCCUCUGGUAUUUGAGGCCAGGAAGUCAUGCUUUUGAGUGGAAUUGUUUGCUUAAGGGCAUUUGGGAGGAACUUGAAGUCACAGACCAAUAGCCAGGUAUAGAUAUUGUCUAUUCUCGGGAGCUUGGUAUUUAAGAGACCUAUGACUGCUAUUUUAAGAAUAAAGUAUGCAUAUAACACUUCUUGAAAAGUUGUUUGGAAGCAACAAAUCUCAGGAAGGCAUUCACACAAAUCAGGUGUUUGAUGCAGCUAUUUUUACAAGACUUGCGGCAAAUGCAUUGAGUUACUCUCAUUACCCAGUCUGUUGUCUCUCCAGGAUGUACAAGAAAUAUGUCUUUUGUCUUAUGCCUGCGGCUGGGAGCAGUCUCAAAGAUGCAAUUUUGCAGACAGGAGAGACUUUUGGCAUCUUCUCCAAUGACUGCUCUGGCUGCUGUCUAGCUGCAAAGCAAACAGGCAGCUCUGGUAGCCAUAAUAAAUAGCAGCAAUUUGAAGACUGCAUUCUUUUUUCCCCCUGAGGAAAUUGAUGUGGGGGCAAGAGGCAAGGGAGAAAAAGAGUAAGCUCUGCUGACAUGCAAAGUUAGACUGUAAGUUGAAGGCUUUUCUUCAGGCCAAGGUGAAGAAUAUGCAAAGUGAAGAGGGAAGAGGACCAGAUAUUGUCAACGGGAGCAAAAGCAAAUGGAGACAAAGAAACAAAGAGCCUUUUGAGUUUUAGGAUGGGUACUCUGCAAGAAUAUGGCAUGGUAGGAGGAAGACAUGACUUAUCCCUUCUGUGUUUACUUGUAAACUGCUGUUCUUAAUCAAUAUGAGAUCAAAAAGAGCCACAUCAGAUAUAUUCAGAAUGUGACAAAGCAGAUAGCUUAAUAUUCUGAUGAAGAUGUAAUAUGGGAUUGUUAUUUCUAUUUCUGUUGUGCUGAGAAACUAAAGACAAGCAAAAAAGAGUUCCUUGCCAAAGUAAAAUUUCAGUUUUGUAUUUUUCAGUCUAUUACAAUCAGGUGUGCACCCUAUACUGAUGGACAUUUAAGUACUACCUAAUUUACUGUGACAUCUGUGUGUUUGGAGUGAUUAGUUUUUUGACAGCUUUUUCCCUUCUUCAAUUAGUGCCUGAAGAAUUAAGAGCUUCACAUGAAACAACAGGCAAAAAUAGCAGCUGCAGGGAUACAGGGGGGAAAAUCCUGAUCUCGGCAGGUUAUUUGAACUAUCUUAGUUCAAGUUUAUGUCUGCAAGUACAGUAUCUAUGGUAAGCUGUAAGUGAGCUCUGCCCCUGUGUUGAGGAAGCAAAUACCCUUCUCUCUACAG